AGUGAACGCUGGCGGUAGGCCUAACACAUGCAAGUCGAACGGCAGCACAGUAAGAGCUUGCUCUUACGGGUGGCGAGUGGCGGACGGGUGAGGAAUACAUCGGAAUCUACUUUUUCGUGGGGGAUAACGUAGGGAAACUUACGCUAAUACCGCAUACGACCUACGGGUGAAAGCAGGGGAUCUUCGGACCUUGCGCGAUUGAAUGAACCGAUGUCGGAUUAGCUAGUUGGCGGGGUAAAGGCCCACCAAGGCGACGAUCCGUAGCUGGUCUGAGAGGAUGAGAAGGCACACGGGGAGGGAGACACGGCCAAGAAGAGUGCGGGAGGGAGCAGGGGGGAAUAUGGGAAAAGGGGAGAAAGAAAGAGCAAGAAAUGGCGCGGGAGUGAUGAAGGACUGAGGGGAGUAAAGCUAGGUGAAACGGGAUGAUAAUGACAGUAACGGGAGAAUAAGCUCCGGCUAACUCCGUG
rnacentral:rRNA from 1 species